CCUACGGGUGGCAGCAGUGGGGAAUAUUGCACAAUGGGGGAAACCCUGAUGCAGCGACGCCGCGUGAGUGAAGAAGUAUUUCGGUACGUAAAGCUCUAUCAGCAGGGAAGAAAAUUACGGUACCUGACUAAGAAUCCCCGGCUCCCUACGUGCCAGCCGCCGCGGUCAUACGUAGGGGGCAAGCGUUAUCCGGAUUUACUGGGUGUAAAGGGAGCGUAGACGGCAGGGCAAGUCUGGAGUGAAAUCCCAUGGCUUAACCAUGGAACUGCUUUGGAAACUGUGCAGCUAGAGUGCAGGAGAGGUAAGCGGAAUGCCUAGUGUAGCGGUGAAAUGCGUAGAUAUUAGGAGGAACACCAGUGGCGAAGGCGGCUUACUGGACUGUAACUGACGUUGAGGCUCGAAAGCGUGGGGAGCAAACAGGAUUAGAUACCCUUGUAGUC
rnacentral:rRNA from 1 species